rnacentral:rRNA from 1 species
GACGAACGCUGGCGGCGUGCCUAAUACAUGCAAGUUGAGCGCUGAAGGUUGGUACUUGUACCAACUGGAUGAGCAGCGAACGGGUGAGUAACGCGUGGGGAAUCUGCCUUUGAGCGGGGGACAACAUUUGGAAACGAAUGCUAAUACCGCAUAAAAACUUUAAACACAAGUUUUAAGUUUGAAAGAUGCAAUUGCAUCACUCAAAGAUGAUCCCGCGUUGUAUUAGCUAGUUGGUGAGGUAAAGGCUCACCAAGGCGAUGAUACGUAGCCGACCUGAGAGGGUGAUCGGCCACAUUGGGACUGAGACACGGCCCAAACUCCUACGGGAGGCAGCAGUAGGGAAGCUUCGGCAAUGGACGAAAGUCUGACCGAGCAACGCCGCGUGAGUGAAGAAGGUUUUCGGAUCGUAAAACUCUGUUGGUAGAGAAGAACGUUGGUGAGAGUGGAAAGCUCAUCAAGUGACGGUAACUACCCAGAAAGGGACGGCUAACUACGUG